UGUGUGUGUGAGCAGGGAUGAUGGGCGGUGAACCCGUAUGCUGUUGGGUGUGUUGGGUUCGGUGACACGCUACGGUGUUCGGGUCCACCGAGGCGUCCAAGCUCGUCUACAGUUUGC
rnacentral:precursor_RNA from 9 species